AUUGAACGCUGGCGGCAGGCCUAACACAUGCAAGUCGAGCGGAUGAGAGGAGCUUGCUCCUCGAUUCAGCGGCGGACGGGUGAGUAAUGCCUAGGAAUCUGCCCAGUAGUGGGGGACAACGUUUCGAAAGGAACGCUAAUACCGCAUACGUCCUACGGGAGAAAGUGGGGGAUCUUCGGACCUCACGCUAUUGGAUGAGCCUAGGUCGGAUUAGCUAGUUGGUAGGGUAAAGGCCUACCAAGGCGACGAUCCGUAACUGGUCUGAGAGGAUGAUCAGUCACACUGGAACUGAGGCACGGUCCAGACUCCUACGGGAGGCAGCAGUGGGGAAUAUUGGACAAUGGGCGCAAGCCUGAUCCAGCCAUGCCGCGUGUGUGAAGAAGGCCCUCGGGUCGUAAAGCACUUUAAGUUGGGAGGAAGGGCUUACAGCGAUUACCUGUGAGUUUUGACGUUACCGACAGAAUAAGCACCGGCUAACUUCGUGCCAGCCGCCGCAGUAA
rnacentral:rRNA from 1 species